rnacentral:rRNA from 1 species
CAGUAGCCACGGUAAUACGAAGGGUGCAAGCGUUACUCGGAAUUACUGGGCGUAAAGCGUGCGUAGGUGGUGGUUUAAGUCCGUUGUGAAAGCCCUGGGCUCAACCUGGGAAUUGCAGUGGAUACUGGGUCACUAGAGUGUGGUAGAGGAUAGUGGAAUUUCCGGUGUAGCAGUGAAAUGCGUAGAGAUCGGAAGGAACAUCUGUGGCGAAGGCGACUAUCUGGGCCAACACUGACACUGAGGCACGAAAGCGUGGGGAGCAAACAGGAUUAGAUACCCCGUAGUCCCUGUCUCUUAUACA